GAUGAAGAACGUAGCCAAAUGCGAUAAGUAAUGUGAAUUGCAGAAUUCAGUGAAUCAUCGAAUCUUUGAACGCACAUUGCGCCCUCUGGUAUUCCGGGGGGCAUGCCUGUUCGAGCGUCAUUAUAACCACUCAAGCUCUCGCUUGGUAUUGGGGUUCGCGGUUUCGCGGCCCCUAAAAUCAGUGGCGGUGCCUGUCGGCUCUACGCGUAGUAAUACUUCUCGCGAUUGAGUUCGAUAGGUCUACUUGCCAGUAACCCCCAAUUUUUACAGGUUGACCUCGGAUCAGGUAGGGAUACCCGCUGAACUUAAGCAUAUCAAUAAGCGGAGGA
rnacentral:misc_RNA from 1 species